UAAACCAAUCUCCCAAAUUACACUUAAUUAAGAAUUUCGGCUAAAUUAAUAACAACCCGAAUUCGCGUAAAAAUCAAAAUAAACUAACAUUUACCGCCGGAUAACUGGCCAACCCAAUAACGGUUGGAAACUGAAUGGUCCGUCCGUUAUUCACUACCAAUACAGAUGCAUGAAAAAUUUUAAAAAAUUAAACGAUAAAAGCAAAGAAUUCAGAAAGAAGAAGGCAAGAUUUACGUGUAUAAUUCGACAAUUGUCUAGGUCCGUGGAGAGAGCAAGAGAGAGAUAUAUAUAUUAUAUUAUAUGAAGAAACAGAAGUAUAAACUUACACUUUGUCUUCUCCAGAUAAAAAAUUAAGUCUUAUGAUGAA
rnacentral:lncRNA from 1 species